rnacentral:rRNA from 1 species
AGAGUUUGAUCCUGGCUCAGAUUGAACGCUGGCGGCAUGCCUUACACAUGCAAGUCGAACGGCAGCAUAGGAGCUUGCUCCUGAUGGCGAGUGGCGAACGGGUGAGUAAUAUAUCGGAACGUGCCCUAGAGUGGGGGAUAACUAGUCGAAAGACUAGCUAAUACCGCAUACGAUCUACGGAUGAAAGUGGGGGAUCGCAAGACCUCAUGCUCCUGGAGCGGCCGAUAUCUGAUUAGCUAGUUGGUGGGGUAAAAGCCUACCAAGGCAACGAUCAGUAGCUGGUCUGAGAGGACGACCAGCCACACUGGGACUGAGACGCGGCCCAGACUCCUACGGGAGGCAGCAGUGGGGAAUUUUGGACAAUGGGGGCAACCCUGAUCCAGCAAUGCCGCGUGAGUGAAGAAGGCCUUCGGGUUGUAAAGCCCUUUUGUCAGGGAAGAAACGGUGGUAGCGAAUAACUACUACUAAUGACGGUACCUGAAGAAUAAGCACCGGCUAACUACGUGCCAGCAGCCGCGGUAAU